AAUGAACGUUGGCGGCGUGGAUUAGGCAUGCAAGUCGAGCGAGGACCCCGCAAGGGGGGACAGCGGCGAAAGGGACAGUAAUGUGUAGAUUAUCUGCCCUCAGGUCCGGGAUAGCUGCGGGAAACUGCAGGUAAUACCGGAUAACAUCUCCGGAUCAAAGGUGUGAUUCCGCCUGAGGAUGAGUCUGCAUCCUAUUAGCUAGUUGGUGGGGUAAUGGCCUACCAAGGCAUUGAUGGGUAGCAGGUGUGAGAGCACGACCUGCGUCAUUGGGACUGAGACACUGCCCAGACACCUACGGGUGGCUGCAGUCGAGAAUCUUCGGCAAUGGGCGCAAGCCUGACCGAGCGACGCCGCGUGUGGGAUGAAGGCCUUCGGGUUGUAAACCACUGUCAGAGGGGAUGAAAUGCAGGUGGGUUCUCCCAUCUGUUUGACAUAGCCUCAGAGGAAGGACGGGCUAAGUUCGUG
rnacentral:rRNA from 1 species